rnacentral:rRNA from 1 species
AACGAACGCUGGCGGCAGGCUUAACACAUGCAAGUCGAGCGCCCCGCAAGGGGAGCGGCAGACGGGUGAGUAACGCGUGGGAAUCUACCCAUCUCUACGGAAUAACGCAUGGAAACGUGUGCUAAUACCGUAUACGUCCUUCGGGAGAAAGAUUUAUCGGAGAUGGAUGAGCCCGCGUUGGAUUAGCGAGUUGGGGGGGUAAAGGCCUACCAAGGCGACGAUCCAUAGCUGGUCUGAGAGGAUGAUCAGCCACACUGGGACUGAGACACGGCCCGAACUCCUACGGGAGGCAGCAGUGGGGAAUAUUGGACAAUGGGCGCAAGCCUGAUCCAGCCAUGCCGCGUGGGUGAUGAAGGCCCUAGGGUUGUAAAGCUCUUUCACCGGUGGAGAUAAUGACGGUAACCGGAGAAGAAGCCCCGGCUAACUUCGUGCCAGCAGCCGCCGUAACAC